GCGGGCGUGGCGGAACAGGUAGACGCAGCGGACUUAAAAUCCGCUUCCGGAAACGGAGUGCCGGUUCGAGCCCGGCCGCCCGCACCA
rnacentral:tRNA from 1 species